CCGUUCAGGGGUAAACCUGAGAAACCCAAAAGAUCGAAUGGGGAGAUUCAACGUGAACUUUGCCGAUUGCCGUGUAACGCGCGAUAUUCGUUAUCUCGGUAACGAGUACGUCGUUGCUGCGGUUUUCAUUGGUUAAGUAAGCGUGCACUUCUCCCCUAGUAGGACGUCGCGACCCGUUGGGUGCCGGCCUACGGCCCGCAAGGUCGUCUGUUGCUUGGGCGUUUACGCGCCUCUCGUGGCAGACCUGCGGAUGCCCGGCCGGCUGCCCGGCGGUAGUGAUUAAUCAAGAAUUGGUAUUUGGCCGCAUCUCGUAUGUGCGUACCGGCUCAUCGGCAGGCUUGCCUUGCUCGGUAAACGGACCUAGCGCCGUUGCCGGGUACUUGGUGGGUCGUUCGCUGACGAUGUCCUCGUACUGGCUAUUACCGGUCGGCGACGCUACUGCUUUGGGUACUUUCAGGACCCGUCUUGAAACACGGACCAAGGAGUCUAACAUGUGCGCGAGUCAUUGGGACUUGUUUAAGCCUAAAGGCGCAAUGAAAGUGAAGGUCUUCCCUAGCGUUGGCCGAGGGAGGAUGGUCGGCUUCAAGGAGCCGACUCGCACUCCCGGGGCGUCUCGUGCUCAUUACGAGCAGAGGCGCACCUAGAGCGUACACGUUGGGACCCGAAAGAUGGUGAACUAUGCCUGGUCAGGACGAAGUCAGGGGAAACCCUGAUGGAGGUCCGUAGCGAUUCUGACGUGCAAAUCGAUCGUCGGAACUGGGUAUAGGGGCGAAAGACUAAUCGAACCAUC
rnacentral:rRNA from 1 species